AACGAACGCUGGCGGCGUGGCUAAGGCAUGCAAGUCGAACGGACCCCUGGAUGGGUAACUUGAAAGGGAGUCAGUGGCGAACGGGUGAGUAAUGAAUGGGUAACGUCCCCUGGACUCAGGGAUAGCGGCGGGCCGCAAGGUCCUUUGCGAAAGUGCCGGUAAUACCUGAUGACCCCGCGUGACCGCAUGGUCGAGCGGGCAAAGCUCCGGUGGUCCGGGAUCGGCCCAUUUCCUAUCAGCUAGNGGUGAGGUAACGGCCCACCAAGGCUUCGACGGGUACCGGGUGUGAGAGCAUGACCCGGCACAUCGGAACUGAGACACGGUCCGGACACCUACGGGUGGCUGCAGCAACGAAUAUUCCGCAAUGGGCGAAAGCCUGACGGAGCGACGCCGCGUGCAGGAUGAAGUCUUUCGGGAUGUAAACUGCUGUCGGGGCUAGAAAUAAAUUGAUCAGCCCCACAGGAAGCCAUGGCUAACUCUGUGCCAGCAGCCGCCGUAAG
rnacentral:rRNA from 1 species